rnacentral:rRNA from 1 species
CAGUCGCCACGGUAAUACGUAGGUGGCAAGCGUUGUCCGGAAUUAUUGGGCGUAAAGCGUCUGUAGGUGGCUUUUCAAGUCCGCCAUCAAAUCCCAAGGCUCAACCCUGGACAGGCGGUGGAAAAUACCAAGCUGGAGUACGGUAGGGGCAGAGGGAAUUUCCGGUGGAGCGGUGAAAUGCGUUGAGAUUGGAAAGAACACCAACGGUGAAAGCACUCUGCUGGGCCGACACUGACACUGAAAGACGAAAGCUAGGGGAGCAAAUGGGAUUAGAUACCCGGUAGUCCCUGUCUCUUAUACA